rfam:Branchiostoma floridae genomic scaffold BRAFLscaffold_174, whole genome shotgun sequence.
ACACCGGCCCUUUUCAGGGCCAACCACAUCUUUCCCAAAAGGACUAU